rnacentral:rRNA from 1 species
UACGGGGGGAGCAAGCGUUGUUCGGAUUUACUGGGCGUAAAGGGCGCGUAGGCGGCCACCGCAAGUCGACUGUGAAAUCUCCGGGCUUAACCCGGAACGGUCAGCCGAUACUGCGGGGCUAGAGUGCAGAAGGGGCAACUGGAAUUCUCGGUGUAGCGGUGAAAUGCGUAGAUAUCGAGAGGAACACCUGCGGCGAAGGCGGGUUGCUGGGCUGACACUGACGCUGAGGCGCGAAAGCCAGGGGAGCAAACGGG